AAAAACAUCGCCUUCUGAUCCAUUAUAGAAGGUCUAGCCUGCCCAGUGAUAAACUUAAACGGCCGCGGUAUCUUGACCGUGCAAAGGUAGCAUAAUCACUUGUCCCUUAAAUAGAGACUAGUAUGAACGGCAUUACGAGGGUUGCACUGUCUCCCCUAUUUAAUCAGUGAAAUUAAUCUCCCCGUGAAGAAGCGGGGAUAUACCCAUAAGACGAGAAGACCCCAUGGAGCUUAAAACUAACAUUACUUGCACUAUUUUAUAUCACCUAAAACCAGCAAACUAUAUACUAGUUUUUGGUUGGGGCAACCGAGGAGUAAAACUAAAUCUCCAUGAUGAAAGAAAUUUAAUUCUAAUCAAAGAGCCACCACUCACAGAAUCACCAUACUGACUAAAUGACCCAAUAAAAUUGAACAACGAACCAAGUUACCCUGGGGAUAACAGCGCAAUCCAUUUUAAGAGCUCCUAUCGACAAAUGGGUUUACGACCUCGAUGUUGGAUCAGGGUACCCCAGCGGUGCAGCCACUACUAAAGGUUCGUUUGUUCAACGAUUAAAACCCUACGUGAUCUGAG
rnacentral:rRNA from 1 species